rnacentral:rRNA from 1 species
GACGAACGCUGGCGGCGUGCUUAACACAUGCAAGUCGAACGGAAAGGCCCUGCUUUUGUGGGGUGCUCGAGUGGCGAACGGGUGAGUAACACGUGAGUAACCUGCCCUUGACUUUGGGAUAACUUCAGGAAAAUGGGGCUAAUACCGGAUAGGAGCUCCUGCUGCACGGGGGGGGUUGGAAAGUUUCGGCGGUUGGGGAUGGACUCGCGGGUUAUCAGCUUGUUGGUGGGGUAGUGGAUUACAAAGGCUUUGACGGGUAGCCGGCCUGAGAGGGUGACCGGCCACCUUGGGCCUGAGAUACGGCCCAGACUCCUACGGGAGGCAGCAGUGGGGAAUAUUGCACAAUGGGCGGACGCCUGAUGCGGCAACGCCCCGUGCGGGAUGACGUCCUUCGGGUUGUAAACCGCUUUCGCCUGUGACGAAGCGUGAGUGACGGUAAUGGGUAAAGAAGCACCGGCUAACUACGUG